rnacentral:rRNA from 1 species
UACGGAGGAUGCGAGCGUUAUCCGGAUUUAUUGGGUUUAAAGGGUGCGCAGGCGGGAGAUUAAGUCGGCGGUGAAAUUUUGCAGCUUAACUGUAACAGUGCCGUUGAUACUGGGGAGCUAGGAUUUGGUUGCUGUGGGUGGAAUGUGUGGUGUAGCGGUGAAAUGCUUAGAUAUCACACAGAAUAUCAAUUGCGAAGGCAGCUCACAAAGCCAAGAUUGACGCUGAGGCACGAAAGUGUGGGGAUCAAACAGGA